CCUCCUCCAAUGCGAUCUUGUGAGCCAAAUCUUUUGAUCUCUUCUGUAGUUCUAAGCAUAUUCUGCUGUAGAAUUUCUUCAGCUGUUUAUGAAGAGCCUUCUCUCUCUCACCCUUACGGUUCAAUGAACCCAUCAAUACAUCAAGCUCUUCCUUGCAACAAUAAUAGCCCCAUAGCUUGGAGUCAGAACUCUCAACAAAGAUCCUCCCAUCACGUCGGAACCACCAAUACCUAUUGUAGUGUCUGUCUUUACCCAAUGAAUUGGUGCGUAAGACUAGUUUCUCCAUCUCCCGUUCAUAAUAUUCGUCCCUUUGCUCUUUGCUUCUCCUUUCUACUGUUUCCUUCUUCUCAUUCUUCAACUGUUUAGCUCCCAUUUUGCUAGAUGAAUUUUUUGUAUUUUCUUCCAAGACUUCCAAACCCAUAUUUUGCUUCAUUUUCUUUGGUGCAAUGUCUGAGUGGCAGCUCUCACUUUUAUACGAUGCAUGUUUUUCUGGAGCUGAAAUGGACUCCCCCUUUCUUUUCUCUGCGAUCUCUCCAUUUUCGUUAUGAUGGUUCUCAUUUGCCAAUGCAUUUGGAUUGUUUCCUGCACUUUCCAUACUUUCUCCAUUCAUCACUUUAUCAUCAACAGAAUCAACUUUAAAUUUGUCCUUUUCUUGUCUUCUUUUUCUACCUUCCUCCAGUGCUUCCCCCCUCCUUAUGGCUCCAAGCAUCUGUCUCUGUUCAAUAUGAUUAUCCAACUUUUCCCUGACAAGAUCUGUUUCAAGGACUUGAUUAACCAAUUCUCGAAGGAUCCACAAUUUAGCUUUAACAUCUAAGAGACCAUAGUGCCCACGCUUAAUUGUCGAUACAUUUGUGGAUAGAUCAGGAAUAUUGAUCUUUUCUAUGAAAUCACACAAAUACUCUGUCCAAUUAAUUAAUGUUAUCUUGAACUUCUGGUUUCUUUUC
rnacentral:misc_RNA from 1 species